CGGUGAAUAGCGCAGUUUGGUAGCGCAUCUGGUUUGGGACCAGAGGGGCGGGGAUUCUUGAACUAUUAAAAACCAGCUCUUCACCGACCA
rnacentral:tRNA from 1 species